CCUACGGGCGGCAGCAGUGAGGAAUAUUGGUCAAUGGGCGCGAGCCUGAACCAGCCAAGUAGCGUGAAGGAUGACUGCCCUACGGGUUGUAAACUUCUUUUAUAAAGGAAUAAAGUGAGGCACGUGUGCCUUUUUGUAUGUACUUUAUGAAUAAGGAUCGGCUAACUCCGUGCCAGCAGCCGCGGUAAUACGGGGGAUCCGAGCGUUAUCCGGAUUUAUUGGGUUUAAAGGGAGCGUAGAUGGGUUGUUAAGUAAGUUGUGAAAGCUUGCGGCUAAAGCGUAAAAUUGCAAUUGAUACUGGCAGUCUUGAGUACAGUUGAGGUAGGAGGAAUGCGUGGUGUAGCGGUGAAAUGCUUAGAUAUCACGAAGAACUCCGAUUGCGAAGGCAGCUUACUAAUCUGCCACUGACAUUGAUGCACGAAAGUGUGGGUAUCAAACAGGAUUAGAUACCCCGGUAGUC
rnacentral:rRNA from 1 species